rnacentral:misc_RNA from 1 species
CCACCGCAAGAGGUCAUCACUGCUCUGUGUGUGUGUGUGUGUGUGCCUCCUCCCGUGAGCUGCACACACACACACACACACACACGCAAACAUACAGCAAAAAGUGUGAGCUUGAAGUGCUUAGAUACACGUAUGCAAGUGACUGGAUAGAGUCAGACCCCUCCCUCCUCCUCCUCCUCCUCCUCCUCCUCCUCCUCCUUCCCCCCCCCCGCUUUAAGCGAAGUCUUCGUGGUUGUGUCGCGCUGUUCGCAGGUACACACAUACACACGUACACGCAAUGCACAAGAAGCUGCUUCUGUUUGGUGGCACCGGUUUCGUGGGCUCGUUGGUGGCACAAAAAGCGCUGAGUCGUGGCUACCGCGUUGUCAUCGCGACCCGGGGCGGCGCACCGCCACUUGGCUCGCCAAUGGACACGCUGUUCAAGCGUGUGCGCAUGAUUGGUGGGCCAGCUGCCGCGCGGGAAUCCAUGAGUGGAACCUCAACGACGACUCAGCCGUCUGUAGCAUCGUCACCUGCGAGCAGCAGUAGCGGCAGCACUCACCAGCGCCCUUCAGCGGAUCAACUGGCCAAGAUGGUGCACCAGAUGGACGAGGAGAACGCGCUGGAGUUUGUCAGCAUCGACGCCACAAGCAGGGACCAAGUGUUUCAUUUUCUGCAUGACCACUCAGACGCCACAGCGGUUGUCAACGCCGUCGGCCUCCUCACGCGCAACUACGAGGACGCGCGGCAGGUCAAUGGAGAUGUCAUGACGAACAUUGCGGCCGGCGUCUUCCACCCGAAGUUGGCGCAGGCGGUGCAGAAGGUAGUGUACGUGUCGGCGGAGCCGUACAACCUGUACUCUCGACGCAUCCUGGGAAGCAAGUAUCUCUUGAAAGGGUACUUCCACGGUAAGCGCAUCGGCGAGAAGGCCGUACUGGAGAACCUUGGCAACAAAGGAGUGGUGCUGCGGCCCAGCUUCAUCUACGGCACGCGUCACAUCCUCGUCGCCUCCGCCGUGAACUCCGACGCCGUAAGCACGCUCUCCCUACCGCUGGGCUGGAUCGGCCUGCCAUUCGACAAGCUACUGACGGCCAUCGGUGGCGGAAAACUGUUAAUGCCGCCGGUGAGCGUGGACGUGGUGGCCGAGGCAGCCGUGCGUGCGUGUGCGUGGGCAAAUCAGCCUGGCAAUGAUAUACACGGUAUCUGUGACGUGUACCGCAUGCAUGACAUCUGCAACGCUGGCGAUCCGUCGCUGCACGAAGAUAGCAAAGGCACCAUGACGGCAUCCGCUGCGUCGAAAGAAGCGAGCACGGUCAAGAACGAUAAGUAGAAGGAGGCGGUUGACAAGAGAGAGAGACAGGAAAGUGUGUGCCUGUGUGCGGAUGGCCGGUGUUUACAAG